AACGAACGCUGGCGGCAUGCCUAACACAUGCAAGUCGAACGAGACCUUCGGGUCUAGUGGCGCACGGGUGCGUAACGCGUGGGAACCUGCCCUUAGGUUCGGAAUAACUCCCCGAAAGGGGUGCUAAUACCGGAUAAUGUCUUCGGACCAAAGAUUUAUCGCCUUUGGAUGGGCCCGCGUUGGAUUAGCUAGUUGGUAGGGUAAAAGCCUACCAAGGCGACGAUCCAUAGCUGGUCUGAGAGGAUGAUCAGCCACACUGGGACUGAGACACGGCCCAGACUCCUACGGGAGGCAGCGGUGGGGAAUAUUGGACAAUGGGCGAAAGCCUGAUCCAGCAAUGCCGCGUGAGUGAUGAAGGCCGUAGGGUUGUAAAGCUCUUUUACCCGGGAUGAUAAUGACAGUACCGGGAGAAUAAGCUCCGGCUAACUCCGUG
rnacentral:rRNA from 1 species